UGGGGAAUAUUGGACAAUGGGCGCAAGCCUGAUCCAGCCAUGCCGCGUGGGUGAAGAAGGCCCUAGGGUUGUAAACCCCUUUCAGCGGGGAAGAUAAUGGCGGUACCCGCAGAAGAAGCCCCGGCUAACUCCGUGCCAGCAGCCGCGGUAAUACGGAGGGGGCUAGCGUUGUUCGGAAUUACUGGGCGUAAAGCGCGCGUAGGCGGACUUUCAAGUCAGGGGUGAAAUCCCGAGGCUCAACCUCGGAACUGCCCUCAAUACUGCCGGUCUUGAGUUCGAGAGAGGUGAGUGGAAUUCCUAGUGUAGAGGUGAAAUUCGUAGAUAUUAGGAAGAACACCAGUGGCGAAGGCGGCUCACUGGCUCGAUACUGACGCUGAGGCGCGAAAGCGUGGGGAGCAAACAGGAUUAGAUACCCGUGUAGUCC
rnacentral:rRNA from 1 species